UCCUGCGCCUGACUUCUCUGCCACCUGCACGCACCCUUACAGAAUGAGUAGGACACCCCCAUCGUCAGAGCCAACAGCAAGCUGAGCUUCCUUGCUGGUCUUCUCCUUGACUCUGUGACUUCAAUUCAUAAGGACACCCCCAUCGUCAGAGCCAACAGCAAGCUGAGCUUCCUGCUGGUCUUCUCCUUGACUCUUCUACUUGACUCUGUGUUUUCUACUAGAAGGCUAGUUCUGUUGUGAUAAUAACGUUAGUUGUGUUGUGGUAGAGUACAUUCCGUCAUGGCCAUCUACCAAGCCAAUAACUAUAAUGAUAAACUAUAGGCUACACUGGAACUAUAAAACAUUGGUGAGCAAAAAAUUGAUCGUUCCACAGUCCUACACCUGUCAAGCAACUGAUCAACGCAUCCUACUGAACCCUGCCUAUUUAAUAAGGUGCCAACACAAGACUGACCUUUCAUAAGGUCUCUAACGCACUGCUUCCGUGUGACCAUUCAUUGCUUUCAGGGUGUGCUCAUUGUCAUAGUGACAACUGCAAAUGAUACUUCAAUGUACAUGUGGCCCAAUGAAAAAUAAUCUAGUGAAUCGUAUUUAAACGCAGCAAUCGAACGCCAUUUCGCCUGAACAUAUUUUACAGCACGUAUUUCACUGCCUUGUUGCUCAAGUGGUUUGCAAUUGAUUUCCAUUUUUCUA